rnacentral:tRNA from 1 species
GCGGGGUUAGUUUAGUGGUAAAACGAGAGUUUUCCAAACUUUUGUCGGGAGUUCGAUUCUCCCACCCCGCA